GGGAAAGGGAGGGGGGGGAAUGCCUAACCCUGAGCCAUGCAAUGAUUGGUCUCGGGGGAGCGGGAGGAGGAUUGGGGGGUGGGGGGGCGUUUGCAAACUCCUGGUGCCACAGGCAUUCGUUGCAUGGUGCAAAGGGAUUGGUUUCAAAAGUUGCGAGUUGUAUUGGCACGGACAGAUGGGCUUGCCGGCGCACUGGGUUUAUGGUCGACCUAGACUCGGAUGAAUUCCAGGGCCGGGGAUAAUCCUCCCUGACGUAUCCGGGCUGAAGCGCGCUACGUGGGGCACGUUUCUCUUACCUGCUUCUGAGCGCUUCCUUUGCUCCGGUCUAGAAAACAACGGAUAAGGCCACGCAAUUUUUAAAAAACUAUUUAAAAUAAGGGUGUCAGAAAAAACGGUUUCGGACACAGUUAAAGAAGUUGAAACACCAAAAAACCUUCACGCUGAUUUUCACCUGAUCCAUAUCCUCCAAAGACAAACAUCUUAUUAGUUCUCAGUUAUGUAUUUAUUGUAUAAUGUUAUAUAUUGGAUAUACAUUGCUUCUGCUCCUCCAUCUUGCCUUUGGUGAAGUCAGGGAAUAAUGUCUUCAUUAACUGUGUACCAGCUGGCCAGGUAGCACGAUAUUUUGGACAUAAUGCUUAACAAAGGGUUACUGAAUAAAUGGAUCACCUUGAAACUGGAGAUCUCUAGAGUGUAGACUGAAACAUUUUUUAAUUGAAUUUUUUUCUUUGUUGUUUCUUUUUACAAAUUUAACACCAAAUAAAAUGAGCAUUUUCUACAAUGAGAACAGACUAAGUAGAUUAUAGGAUGUUGAACUUGAAGUCCAGAUAACCUGGGUUCAAACUGUAAGCCCCCAAACUUGUAGCUUAGGAAAAUUUAAUAAACCCCAGUUUACUUAGCUUACAGGUGAAAGCCUCAGGUUUGACCUUGUCACAGGAGAGUUCCUCCUGGAGGGAAAGUCCAACUUCUCUAGUCUCAGACUAACAAUAGAUUUUAAGGUAGUGUAGGUGGGAAUAGCUAAUCCCAUCAGGUGUUAAGUAUCUCUUUUAUCCCAUUGGUUUCUCCCCUUAGGCCAAAGCCCUUUACUUAGGUGGUCCAGCCCUUGACAGGAUCUUUCCCUUUUGUGUCCAUUGUAAAGCAUCAGCCCCUCACUGUUAUUCCUGUCUGGGACUCCUCAUUUUCCUUUGUUACCAUUGUAAAGUCAAUCAACUAUCUCUCAUCCUUAGUCCCCAUGGCCUAGAAAGGUAGAUAGACUUGCCCACUUUAGUGGCUCCUUGUUGGCUUUCCCAGGGGUCAGUGACCAGAGCAUCCAGAGUUCAAUCCUCCCACUCUAUGUAGGCGUUUGGCAUACAGCUCUGUGUAGAGGCCUAACUCGGCACUGUACAUCUUUCUUUAAAUUAAAGAAUAGCUUUUCUGACUAUUUAAUAGUUCUGUGUUUUUUCCCAGUCAACAAAACUUUCACAGACACUAGCUUGUGUGGCCCCAGACAAGUCACUUAAUUAGCCUCAAUUUUCUCAUCUAUAAAGGGAGGAUAAUAGAAGCCUUUACCAGAUAGGGUUGUAAGGAUCAAAACAAAUAAUAUGUUAAGUGCAUUGCAAAGAGCUAUAGGAGUGCUAGAUAGUAUAACACUUUGAAUAUAUUAUGUUCAGCUUGCUUUUUUCUUUAUAUAAUAAAUUCAAUAUAACUUUCAAA